GCAGAAGUGGCGGAAUUGGCAGACGCGCACGGUUCAGGUCCGUGUGAGAGCAAUCUCAUGAGGGUUCAAGUCCCUUCUUCUGCA
rnacentral:tRNA from 1 species